rnacentral:sRNA from 1 species
CAAAAAAGGAAAAAAAAA